AGAUUGAACGCUGGCGGCAUGCUUUACACAUGCAAGUCGAACGGUAACAGGUCUUCGGAUGCUGACGAGUGGCGAACGGGUGAGUAAUACAUCGGAACGUGCCUAGUAGUGGGGGAUAACUACUCGAAAGAGUAGCUAAUACCGCAUGAGAUCUACGGAUGAAAGCAGGGGACCUUCGGGCCUUGUGCUACUAGAGCGGCUGAUGGCAGAUUAGGUAGUUGGUGGGGUAAAGGCUUACCAAGCCUGCGAUCUGUAGCUGGUCUGAGAGGACGACCAGCCACACUGGGACUGAGACACGGCCCAGACUCCUACGGGAGGCAGCAGUGGGGAAUUUUGGACAAUGGGCGAAAGCCUGAUCCAGCAAUGCCGCGUGCAGGAUGAAGGCCCUCGGGUUGUAAACUGCUUUUGUACGGAACGAAAAGCCUGGGGCUAAUAUCCCCGGGUCAUGACGGUACCGUAAGAAUAAGCACCGGCUAACUACGUGCCAGCAGCCGCGGUAAUACGUAGGGUGCAAGCGUUAAUCGGAAUUACUGGGCGUAAAGCGUGCGCAGGCGGUUUUGUAAGACAGUGGUGAAAUCCCCGGGCUCAACCUGGGAACUGCCAUUGUGACUGCAAGGCUAGAGUGCGGCAGAGGGGGAUGGAAUUCCGCGUGUAGCAGUGAAAUGCGUAGAUAUGCGGAGGAACACCGAUGGCGAAGGCAAUCCCCUGGGCCUGCACUGACGCUCA
rnacentral:rRNA from 1 species